ensembl:ncRNA C34D1.10 ncRNA
CAAUCUUUAUCCAUCCGUUGUCGUCCAGCUUCUAGAUUGUUUUGAAACAAGCUCACGGGAUUUUAGAUUUGGACAUGAGAUGUAUAGUCGCAUGUUUCACUUAUUAAAACUAAUGAGAUGUUUCU